GACGAACGCUGGCGGCGCGCUUAACACAUGCAAGUCGAACGGAAAGGCCUUGUUUUUGUUGGGUGCUCGAGGUGCGAAAGGGUGAGUAACACGUGAGUAACCUGCCCUUGACUUCGGGAUAACUUCAGUAAACUGGGGCUAAUACCUGAUAGGAGCUCCUGCUGCACGGUGGGGGUUGGAAAGUUUCGGCGGUUGGGGAUGGACUCGCGGCUUAUCAGCUUGUCGGUGGGGUAGUGGCUUACCAAGGCUUUGACGGAUAGCCGGCCGGAGAGGGUGACCGGCGACACUGCGAAUGAGAUACGGCGCAGCAGCCGACGGGAGGCAGGAGUGGGGAACAUUACACAGUGGGCGGGAGGCUGAUGCAGCAACGCCGCGUGCCGGAUGACGGCCUUCGGGUUGUAGCGCGCUUGCGCCUUUGAUGAAGCGGGAGUGACGGUAAUGGGUAAAGAAGCACCGGCUAACUACGUA
rnacentral:rRNA from 1 species